rnacentral:rRNA from 1 species
CUCUGACGUUAGCGGCGGACGGGUGAGUAACACGUGGAUAACCUACCUAUAAGACUGGGAUAACUUCGGGAAACCGGAGCUAAUACCGGAUAAUAUAUUGAACCGCAUGGUUCAAUAGUGAAAGACGGUUUUGCUGUCACUUAUAGAUGGAUCCGCGCCGCAUUAGCUAGUUGGUAAGGUAACGGCUUACCAAGGCAACGAUGCGUAGCCGACCUGAGAGGGUGAUCGGCCACACUGGAACUGAGACACGGUCCAGACUCCUACGGGAGGCAGCAGUAGGGAAUCUUCCGCAAUGGGCGAAAGCCUGACGGAGCAACGCCGCGUGAGUGAUGAAGGUCUUCGGAUCGUAAAACUCUGUUAUUAGGGAAGAACAAAUGUGUAAGUAACUAUGCACGUCUUGACGGUACCUAAUCAGAAAGCCACGGCUAACUACGUGCCAGCAGCCGCGAUAAUACGUAGGUGGCAAGCGUUAUCCGGAAUUAUUGGGCGUAAAGCGCGCGUAGGCGGUUUUUUAAGUCUGAUGUGAAAGCCCACGGCUCAACCGUGGAGGGUCAUUGGAAACUGGAAAACUUGAGUGCAGAAGAGGAAAGUGGAAUUCCAUGUGUAGCGGUGAAAUGCGCAGAGAUAUGGAGGAACACCAGUGGCGAAGGCGACUUUCUGGUCUGUAACUGACGCUGAUGUGCGAAAGCGUGGGGAUCAAACAGGAUUAGAUACCCUGGUAGUCCACGCCGUAAACGAUGAGUGCUAAGUGUUAGGGGUUUCCGCCCCUUAGUGCUGCAGCUAACGCA